rnacentral:rRNA from 1 species
CCCUUUGGGGUGUGACUGCGUACCUUUUGUAUAAUGGGUCAGCGACUUAUAUUCUGUAGCAAGGUUAACCGUAUAGGGGAGCCGUAGGGAAACCGAGUCUUAACCGGGCGUUAAGUUGCAGGGUAUAGACCCGAAACCCGGUGAUCUAGCCAUGGGCAGGUUGAAGGUUGGGUAACACUAACUGGAGGACCGAACCGACUAAUGUUGAAAAAUUAGCGGAUGACCUGUGGCUGGGGGUGAAAGGCCAAUCAAACCGGGAGAUAGCUGGUUCUCCCCGAAAGCUAUUUAGGUAGCGCCUCGUGAAUUCAUCUCCGGGGGUAGAGCACUGUUUCGGCUAGGGGGCCAUCCCGGCUUACCAACCCGAUGCAAACUGCGAAUACCGGAGAAUGUUAUCACGGGAGACACACGGCGGGUGCUAACGUCCGUCGUGAAGAGGGAAACAACCCAGACCGCCAGCUAAGGUCCCAAAGUCAUGGUUAAGUGGGAAACGAUGUGGGAAGGCCCAGACAGCCAGGAUGUUGGCUUAGAAGCAGCCAUCAUUUAAAGAAAGCGUAAUAGCUCACUGGUCGAGUCGGCCUGCGCGGAAGAUGUAACGGGGCUAAACCAUGCACCGAAGCUGCGGCAGCGACACUGUGUGUUGUUGGGUAGGGGAGCGUUCUGUAAGCCUGUGAAGGUGUGUCGUGAGGCAUGCUGGAGGUAUCAGAAGUGCGAAUGCUGACAUAAGUAACGAUAAAGCGGGUGAAAAGCCCGCUCGCCGGAAGACCAAGGGUUCCUGUCCAACGUUAAUCGGGGCAGGGUGAGUCGACCCCUAAGGCGAGGCCGAAAGGCGUAGUCGAUGGGAAACGGGUUAAUAUUCCCGUACUUGGUGUUACUGCGAAGGGGGGACGGAGAAGGCUAUGUUGGCCGGGCGACGGUUGUCCCGGUUUAAGCGUGUAGGUGUGUGUUCCAGGUAAAUCCGGUUCACUUUAACACUGAGGCGUGACGACGAGGCACUACGGUGCUGAAGCAACAAAUGCCCUGCUUCCAGGAAAAGCCUCUAAGCAUCAGGUAACAUCAAAUCGUACCCCAAACCGACACAGGUGGUCAGGUAGAGAAUACCAAGGCGCUUGAGAGAACUCGGGUGAAGGAACUAGGCAAAAUGGUGCCGUAACUUCGGGAGAAGGCACGCUGACAC